rnacentral:lncRNA from 1 species
UGUAUAACACCGCCCGUUCGGUCGAAUUGUUAUCCUAGUUUAGCAGUUAACGGCUAGUGAAAGUGUAGUUUAUUCUAAAGCUAACCAAAGUGCGAAUCACGUGACAUAUGUUGGGAGUGAACUCGUGUUCAUUCAGUAGGCAGUCAGUAAAGCACGAGAAAGGACGCAAAACGAAGCAGCGAAGAAGGACACAAAGCGGGGAAGAAAGGCUGAUGAGUCUAUGAUUAGUGAUCUACACCUUCUUCAUAACCCAAGUUUGUUCUGUUGUUUGCCCUGAUAAUUCUCAAUCCCAGUUUGGUCAACUCUCACAGUGGUGGACUUUAUAACAGCUGUCAGAAUGAGAACCAGAACAAUUACCUCAGUGAAAGCCAAAACAUUUUCAUUGUUCAACCAACCAAUGCUAAUCGUGUGACAUUGUUGAGAGUGUAUGUUCAUUCAGCAGACAGUUGGUGAAGGACAAAAAAACGAACACAAAGCAAGGAAGGAAGGCUUGAGAGCAGAGACUUUCAUUAUUUCCAUGCAUGGAAACUGAAAUGAUGGCAGUCCAUGUGUAGAGAUCUAGACACUUUGUUCCCAAGGUGAUGUGAAAUGGUGCGAAGUGUUGUGUAUGUCUUCUGCCUUCACUCUACUAGACCACUACUGCCUGGAUCUUCAGUAUCUCCAGUUAGUAUUGGAACUGUGAUGACACUGAGGAAAUAUUCUACAAUCUUCAACAUGGUUACAGUUGAAUUGUGAUUUCCACAUAGCAAUUGCUGUACAGUGUAAUGCCAGCAUGUAUGUUUUUCUAAGAAAGUGACAAAGUGUGUCAAGGUGGAAGCUGUGCAUCUGGACAGGAUGAGAAUGGUUGUAUUCCAAUGGGUGUAAGCAUGAAAUCACCUGGCCUUGUGUGGAAGACAUCUAUGAACAGAUCAACCAGAUGUAUACCUCUAAUUUAAACUCCUGAAAAUCCCCAUGGUUGCGGGUGGUGCAGACAGAAUGUGAGCCAGGAAGUACAUCUGUGAAAAGCCCAGACAUUCCAUAUGUAGGAGUAUCUUCAUUCUUCAAUUGCAUCUUAGCUAAGAAGUUAACUUGGAUCUGCUUCACAGGGAGUCAUUGAUGUUCAACUAAGUAGUAGGAUACAGUUUUCUGAUCAAAUGAAAUGGCUUUAUCUUAUCUGGCUGGAAUUUAAAGAGCUGACACUACCAUCAGGAAAAUCUACCAUGUAAUAACACUAACCCAGAACACUGCUACUGAGUCUACCACACAGUAAAGCCGACUAGGAAAUAGCAAUUUAGUCGACCACACAGUGACAGGAACCCGGAGCAUUGCUACUAUGUCUCCUAUACAGUAGUUCUGAUUCAGAACAUUGCUACUGAGUCUACCAUACAGUAAUGUGGACUAGGACAUUGCUAUCAAGAUUUUCCAUGCAGUUACACUGACUAGAGUAGUCCAAACAGGAAAAACACUUAGGAUGACUUGGGAUGUGUGGUCUUCCACUGUAUUACUGACCCCAAAGUGUAGCUUUUCUAUGGAAUAUUCAGACAGAUAAUUGAAGUUACCUGUCAGUAGGGGCAAUAAACUCUUUAUUAUCUGUUUAUGUUAACACUCCUGAUCCUGUUCGAAGGCUGGACUCUGCUGAACACUGGAAAAAAAAGCAGAGAAACAUGCAACUCACUCUGUGUGACAUUAGUGCAAAUUUUUUUCAAAUGUGACCAUGAGAUAUAGACAUUAAAAUUAUUUUAAGUAACAUUUAAGUAAUGUUCAAAGGUGGUAGUGAAAACUCACUGAAUGUGACAUCAAAGUUCAAAUGAGUGGGAAAGAAAGACAGUUGUAGUUACUAGUAAAAAUUUAAGAUUAGAUAUUAAAAUAAUGUUUAAAAGUGACAGUAGGUACAGUAAAAUGUGGAUAAUAUGUGUUUUGAUUGAUAAUGUCAAAUAAUAAAGUGUAACUGAUUGUU